rnacentral:rRNA from 1 species
GAUGAACGCUGGCGGCGUGCCUAAUACAUGCCAGUCGAGCUAACGGACGAGAAGCUUGCUUCUCUGAUGUUAGCGGCGGACGGGUGAGUAACACGUGGAUAACCUACCUAUAAGACUGGGAUAACUUCGGGAAACCGUAGCUAAUACCGGAUAAUAUUUUGAACCGCAUGGUUCAAAAGUGAAAGACGGUCUUGCUGUCACUUAUAGAUGGAUCCGCGCUGCAUUAGCUAGUUGGUAAGGUAACGGCUUACCAAGGCAACGAUGCAUAGCCGACCUGAGAGGGUGAUCGGCCACACUGGAACUGAGACACGGUCCAGACUCCUACGGGAGGCAGCAGUAGGGAAUCUUCCGCAAUGGGCGAAAGCCUGACGGAGCAACGCCGCGUGAGUGAUGAAGGUCUUCGGAUCGUAAAACUCUGUUAUUAGGGAAGAACAUAUGUGUAAGUAACUGUGCACAUCUUGACGGUACCUAAUCAGAAAGCCACGGCUAACUACGUG